rnacentral:lncRNA from 1 species
UUCUGUCGCUGAUGCUCGAAUCUAUGGUUCCAGAUUUCUUUCCUAGGGUUUCUAUCUCCAGUGUUGCCUCACUUUGAGUUUUCUUUAUUGUGUCUACUUCACUUUUUAAGACUAGUGCUAGUGAACCUUAAAAUUUCAAGAGAAAGAACAUUGACAGAACUUUGACUCAUCUAAAGAAACUUUUAACUUACAAAAGAGAUUAGUAUGGCCUGUCUUCAUAAAAUCUUCAUUUCCUUGAGUUAAGUGAAAAUAUAGACUUUCUCCAGGCAUAUGUGAGCUCUAUAGGCUUACAGUUUGCAUGGUCAUUGUGAAGAAGUAUUGCUGGAUUACAGAACACUAUGACACCUUCAGUUAAUUUCAUACUGGAAAUAUAUCCUCCACAUUUGGCAAAGAAGAAUGCAGCAGCCUAGAGAAAUUCACAUCUAGAGAGCCAGGACCUACAAAGGAGGAGAGGAAGGAGUCAAUUUUAAGAUUCUGAUGAUUUUGUAAGGAGCAGAUGGAGAGGGUCAGAAGGCACCUGGGGAGCCCAGGAGAGCUUUGUAGCAACUGAGGUGAGAGAUGAUGGUUCCCAGCAGCUUCUAAUUAAAAGUUUAUUGAUUUGAGCCAAGGUAUUCAUCAAAGGUGUGAUACAUAACAAGUGGCAAAGAUGGAGCUUGAAGUCACACUUAAAUGUAGCUGUCCAUCAAUGCUGCUUAUGGGCAUUUGUAACUAAGACACAUGGGCAUCUCAGUGGAAUUAAUCAGCAUGUGGAUUCCCCUCAACUGAGGGUAGAGUGAAGUCACCAGGCAUACUCGUGCUGUCUGCCUUCCCAUAUUCGGAAUUCGCUUUUGCACUGGUUUCGAGUGACCACACUGACUGUGGGCUUUUGCUGACUUUAAGUGACAGAAGAGAACAGAUGUCUCUGCUUUGCUUUUCUCAGUUUGCCUUGAUCAGAAGCAAUCAAGGCAAUGGGGCUGCUGCUGGGCUCUGUGGGGAAAUCAAGCUUCCGCUGGCCUUCGUGCUGCCUGAGCCCAGAAGCUGCUGCAAUCCUGAAGGCGGUCUGCAUCCCAGCUGGCCCAGAUGCAACUUCCUAAGGCAGGCAAUAAAGGCCGACACAGCAGG